rnacentral:rRNA from 1 species
AGUGAACGCUGGCGGUAGGCCUAACACAUGCAAGUCGAACGGCAGCACAGUAAGAGCUUGCUCUUACGGGUGGCGAGUGGCGGACGGGUGAGGAAUACAUCGGAAUCUACUUUUUCGUGGGGGAUGACGUAGGGAAACUUACGCUAAUACCGCAUACGACCUACGGGUGAAAGCAGGGGAUCUUCGGACCUUGCGCGAUUGAAUGAGCCGAUGUCGGAUUAGCUAGUUGGCGGGGUAAAGGCCCACCAAGGCGACGAUCCGUAGCUGGUCUGAGAGGAUGAUCAGCCACACUGGAACUGAGACACGGUCCAGACUCCUACGGGAGGCAGCAGUGGGGAAUAUUGGACAAUGGGCGCAAGCCUGAUCCAGCCAUACCGCGUGGGUGAAGAAGGCCUUCGGGUUGUAAAGCCCUUUUGUUGGGAAAGAAAAGCAGCAGGUUAAUACCCCGCUGUUCCGACGGUACCCAAAGAAUAAGCACCGGCUAACUUCGUG